rnacentral:lncRNA from 10 species
AACCCGGUACCUCAGAUGGAAAUGCAGAAAUCACCUGUCUUCUGCUUCGCUCACGCUGGGAGCUGUAGACCGGAGCUGUUCCUGUUCGGCCAUCUUGGCUCCUCCCUGCCAGAUAGCUCUUAUUUUGAGUUGUUCACUGUUGGUGUAUAGUGCAGUGGUACUAGCAUAAAAACAGACACAUAAACCAAUGGAACCAAAUAGAGACCCAGAAACAAAACCAUACAUCUGCAGUGAACUCAUUUUCUACGAAGUUGCCAAGAACUCGCAAUGAGGAAAGGAUUGUCUCUUCAAAAUAAAUGGUGCUGGGAAAACUGGAUGUCUAUAUGUAGAAGAAUGAAACUAGAUCCUUUUUUCUUGAGUGCCUCUUUGAGUGGUAUGAAGUUAAAACCAGCUUUGCUACAGUCACUGCGUUCUCCACAAAUGGAACUAUGUACAGAAUUUAUGACAACUAAAGUGAAUUUCCUGAGAAAUGUAAUUUUGGAGAAAUUGAAGGAUUUAUGAAGAGAUGAUACUAACAGAGGCAUAGCAAUGUUGCAUUUGAACUGAUAUAACAAGCUGAUUAUGAAGAGGCAUAGUGGAAGAAAAUGAUAUUCAGGGGAAUAAUAAAAAGUCAUCUGUGACCAACUAAGUUGGUCUGAGUUCCACUUUAAAUUUAUUUCCAGAAAUCUUUACUCUCCUGCUCCAAUCCUGACUGGUUGCUUCCUAUUUCCAUUUUAUGAUUUCUUAUUCUGGCACUUUCUUUUGAUAUUUACCUGGGAAAUCUCCUCAGCUGUCUUCUCUAUUGAAGCCCAUGUUUCCAGAAUCCUAGCUUCUUUACUGGUUUUCUCCUUAUUUGAGAGUUUACAUGCCUGAAAUUUUCUUUGAAUCUGUAGCAUAUUCGCAAGGGUCAUUCAGUUUCUGCCUUGAAAGUUGCUCAAAAUCUUGUCCCAAGAGGUAUGUGUGCCUAUCUGGGGUAUUUGGGGACCUGGACAGGGAAUGAGGGCUGGCAGGGAUUGGGGGUGUAUUUCUCUGGUAAAUAUAUAGAUUCCACUUAAUCCACCUAUUUUCAGCCCCAUAUCUCCUCUUGAAUCUUUCUGUUCCCAUUGUCUGUAAGACUAAAUUCUUUGUGAUUCAUGUUCUAUAGGGAAUAAAUCUAAAAUCUGAGAAUUUGGAAGGGAAUGUUGAGACUUUUCAGGGUCUAACCACCUCUUACACAGAAUUUCAAACAAUUCUCUUAAUUCCAGACCUGGGCUUUGCACUCACUUUCUGCAAAACCCAAUUCUUGAGCCUUUGCAGCUUGGUUCUGUUUCCUCCUGAAGAAACACGUUCAGCUUCCUCUAUUCUCCUGGGUGAUCAAGCUUUCCAUCCUCCAAAAUACGUUAAUGUUUCCUAACCCCCUGUGUCUUCUCUCCUGACAUUUUGAUUCCUUUAGGCCUAUAUGUUUUAAAUAUUAUUAUUGUCAUAUUAAUAGCCAUUCAGGAGAGAAUAGACACGAUACAUCUAUUCAAUUCACCAUGUCAAACUAGAAAUCUCCAUUUUUAUUUAAAAUCCUGUGGCAUUUUUUUAUUUUUUUAUUAAGAAAUGUUUUUUCAAAGAUAAUUUUGGCAGAAAUAUAAGUAAUUAAGACAUUAUCUUUCUUUUUUAAAACAUAGUGAUUAAAAUAAAGUAGCAUUUUCACUCUUUGAGCUAUUUUAAACUGAGCAUUUUAAAGGACUAGUGGAAAAGCUCUAGUGGAAAAAUAUUCUAAUGUAUUUUUCUAAUUAUGGUUUCCUCUCUACUUCGCCCAAUACCCCUCAGCAUCCCCGCAACUUGGCCAACAGACUCACCAGCUAUGAAAAAAAAUGUGAACAGUAUCCCAAAAGCUGAAGCCAUCUUCCAAAGGGAGUUAUUUCUAUUUUUUUUUUCUUAUCUUUGCCUCUAUGUUUUCUUCCACUGUAUAAUAGGCCUAGUUAUGGUAUUUUACUUCUCUUGCUCUGCUCCAUUAGCACUGGUGAGAAAUCCCCUGCUCUCUUAGAUGGUUGUAUUUUUGGCUCAUGAGCAACUUAAAUAGAAGCAUUUCCUGUUUGCACAGUUGAGGUGAUAAUGACUGAAUUUUCUGGUUUGUGCUUUUAUACAUUUACUUAUUUCAAGAGAAGCAUGUAUAUUUGACCCAGGAUUCAGAUCCAAUUGUAAUUGAUUGAGCUAUGUCCCAGAUACUGUCAGAAUGAUUCUUAUGAGGCAUGUAUAGUUAUAUUUAUUUUUAUAGAUAAGGAAGUAGAGAUUCGAAAAGGUUAAGAAACUUAUCCUAAGUCAAUUAAUGAUACGGUAGAAGAAUAACCAGCAUAGAAAGAAAGACCUUUUCAUAAGUAAUUUUCCUUAUCUUCUACUGCAUUUUGUAUGUGUGUCUAUGUAUAUUUUUUGGUAUUUUGUUGUGUGGCUUAUGAGAGGAGUUACACACAAUCUCUCCUUCCAGGGAUAUGCACUUUAACAUAGAAAUCACUGAGGCAGAAAGUAUUUAAAAGUAACAUGCUCAAAAAGAUCAUAAUACAAAUAAUUCUUCACCUAAAUUAUUGUAUUAGCCUCUUCUACUUCAUAAUAUUUACUUAAUAUCUCUUUUCAUCUCUGUUCAGUUUGUUUUUUUUGGCUAAAGCAAUUUAGGAUAUGCUCUUUCCUUCUGCAAACUCAGGGUUGCUACAUGGGUUGCAAAGGUAAAGAUAAAGAGUGCUGACCAGUAGGCUGAAGUUUCUGCCCAUAAAUUCUCCUUACAUCUUCCUGACCACACAAUAAUCCUGCCCUUGGAUUUUCCUGUGCGUUCUCCCCACCCACUUCCAGUGGUUCAUACUGGUUUCAGUUUGGCUAGACAAAAAGAAUGGUUAGUGAUAACUUUGUAUGAAAAAGAUGGAUAUAAUUGUGCACAUUUGUUAACUUUCUAUACUACAGAGUUAUCACCAGGAUCAGAUUCUUGUCUCCAGAUAGAUAAUUCCUCAACACAUUUGAAGGUGAAUUUGGGAUUUUUAGUGAAAUAACAAAGAAAUUCUAUCCUCUAUUUCUUGCCCACCCUCUAUUUUGAGUUGAUUUUUGUGUAGGCCAUAAGAUAGGGCCCAAUUUUAUUCUUUUGCCUAGGGUUAUUCAGUUUCCCCAAUAUCAAUUGUCAAAGAGACUGUUCUGUCCCCAUUGUGUAUUUUUGGAAUCCUAGUUGAAGAUCAGUUGACUAUAUAUGCAUGAAUUUAUUUCUGGGAUCUCUAUUCUGUUAUGCUGGUCUAUAGAUGUCUUUAUGCCAGUAGCAUACUGUUUUAAUUACUGUAGCCUGGUAGUAUAUUUUGAUAUAAGGAAGUGUAAUGCCUCCAAGUUUAUUCUUGGCUGUUUAAGGUCUUUUAUGGUUUCAUAUGAAUUUUAUAAUUGAUUUUCUAUUUCUGUAAAAAUGUCAUGGAAUUUUGAUAAGAAUUGAAUUGAAUCUGUAGAUCUUUGUAGUGUCUUAGCCUAUUUUGCUGCUAUGACAAAAUACCACAGACUGAGUAAUUUGCAAACAAAAGAAAUUUAUUUCUCACAGCUCUGAAGGCUGAGAACUUCAAGAUCAAGGCACCAGUAGACUCAGUGUCUUAUGAGUGCUACUAUUUGCUUCAAAGACGAUGCCUUCUUGCUAAAUCCUCUGCAGAAAGCUGAAGAUCCACCGUGCAAGGAAGACAUCAAGGAGAUCCCUGCUGUACAUAGGAAUUUGAAUGAGAAUUUCCCUUCAAUUCUGAGACACUAUAAAUCUGACAUCAUAUAGUAAUAUGAAAGGUGAUAUUUCACACAUAACCAAGGCACAACUUCUCUUUUCAGUAAAUAUUGCUAAACUCAAAAAAACCUACACAUAUGACUUAAAUGAUAGAUAUAAAUAAAGGUGGUUUCAACAC